AUUGAACGCUGGCGGCAUGCCUAACACAUGCAAGUCGAGCGAGCGGCGGACGGGUGAGUAAUGUCUGGGUAACUGCCUGAUGGAGGGGGCUAAACGCAGGAAACGGUAGCUACUACCGCAUACCAUCAGAUGUGCACAGAUGGGAUUAGCUAGUAGGUGGGGUAACGACUCACCUAGGCGACGAGCCCUAGCUGGUCUGAGAGGAUGACCAGCCACACGGGAACUGAGACACGGUCCAGACUCCUACGGGAGGCAGCAGUGGGGAAUAUUGGACAAUGGGCGAAAGCCUGAUCCAGCCAUGCCGCGUGUGUGAAGAAGGUCUUCGGAUUGUAAAGCACUUUAAGUUGGGAGGCGUUACCAACAGAAUAAGCACCGGCUAACUUCGUGCCAGCAGCCGCGGUAAUAC
rnacentral:rRNA from 1 species